UACGAAGGGGGCUAGCGUUGCUCGGAAUCACUGGGCGUAAAGCGCACGUAGGCGGCUUCUUAAGUCAGGGGUGAAAUCCUGGAGCUCAACUCCAGAACUGCCUUUGAUACUGAGGAGCUUGAGUCCGGGAGAGGUGAGUGGAACUGCGAGUGUAGAGGUGAAAUUCGUAGAUAUCUGGAGGAACACCGGUGGCGAAGGCGGCAUCCUGGACCGAUACUGACGCUGAGGAGCGAAAGCCAGGGGAGCAAACGGG
rnacentral:rRNA from 1 species